rnacentral:lncRNA from 1 species
UUUAUCUCAUCUCUUCCAAAACCUCCUUUCUAAACCUUCACUUCCUUUAAUCAAUAUUUAAAACUCUAAAUCCUCUCAUCUACAGCCGCACACCCCUCUCGAGACCGAGCAGAGAUUCUGGCGACUGCUCCGGCGACCGCAUAGUGACUCCGGUCACACACCUCCACCUGCAAACCCCACCCUUUCACUUAAAACCCUACCUACAAACACACCAGUCGCACAACAACCUCAUCCCUCUCCUUCCUCUCCGAAAACCUUCUGACACCUAAAUCUCCCAGCAGACCGACCCCCACCUCCCUUCUCCUUGUAUCUUUCUCAUAACACCUCACCCACAACCACCUCCCUUGAAACCCUCUACUCACAGAUCAGAAAUGGAGGUUCACGGCGGCAGUGACGGCGUCGGAUUGUUUUGAGCAUGAGAAAAUACAGAGAGUUUAUCGGGUUAGCAACUUUACGGCAUGUUAAAGCUUGGAAAUCAAUGAUUCAAAGUCGAAGAUAAACUAACAAGAACCCUAUGGGCAAAGGUAAGUGCAGAACUCAACGUAAGCUACGCCGAGACAACGUAGCUUACACCGGCGAAGUUGCUACACCAUUAGUCUUUUGUGUUACUGUGCCAUGUACACCACCUUUGACGCCUGGUAAAGCUCCAAAAUAGUAAAGUUUUGGUUCAAAGUGGAGCCCCCAUUUAGUGAAGCAGGAGCUAAAUAUCCCGAGUUGAAAUUAAUGAAGCCUUCGUUUAAGGCUUGUGAAAUGCUCUCUACUUGGUUGACGAUUGGUGAUCGAGUUCUCAAAGUGGUUCAAGAACACACAUCGUGAUGUUGGUCGACAUUUUGAAAAUGCGUCAACAAUUUGUUAAGUUGUUUCAUGUAACUUUUUCUUUGGUUAUGAAUAACUCGGUCAAACUUGACACACAAUAUACAUAUAAUGAUAGGUGUGUUUGACU